UACCUGGUUGAUCCUGCCAGUAGUCAUAUGCUUGUCUCAAAGAUUAAGCCAUGCAAGUCUAAGUACGAGCUCUCGUACAGUGAAACUGCGAAUGACUCAUUAAAUCAGUUAUGGUUCAUUUGAUCGUACAGUUUACUUGGAUAACUGUGGUAAUUCUAGAGCUAAUACAUGCGAGAAGCGCCGACCUCGCGGGAGGCGUGCAUUUAUCAGACCAAAAACCGGCCGCGUCUUCGGGCGCGUUCGCCUUGGUGACUCUGGAUAACUUUGCGGAUCGCACGGUCUAGCACCGGCGACGGAUCAUUCAAGUGUCUGCCCUAUCAACUUUCGUCGGUACGGUAUUUGCCUACCGAGGUUCUUACGGGUGACGGGGAAUCAGGGUUCGAUUCCGGAGAGGGAGCCUGAGAAACGGCUACCACAUCCAAGGAAGGCAGCAGGCGCGCAAAUUACCCAUUCCCGACGCGGGGAGGUAGUGACGAAAAAUAACAAUGCAGGACUCGUUCGAGGCCCUGUAAUUGGAAUGAGUACACUUUAAAAGCUUUAACGAGUAUCCAUUGGAGGGCAAGUCUGGUGCCAGCAGCCGCGGUAAUUCCAGCUCCAAAAGUAUAUAUUUAAGUUGUUGCGGUUAAAAAGCUCGUAGUUGGAUUUUGGGCGCAGGCGGCCGGUCCGUCGCAAGGCGUGUACUGGACGUCCUGGCC
rnacentral:ncRNA from 1 species